UACGAGGGGGGCGAGCGUUGUUCGGAAUUAUUGGGCGUAAAGGGUGCGUAGGCGGUUUGGUAAGUCUGAUGUGAAAUCUAUGGGCUCAACAUCAUAGUCUGCAUCGGAAACUGCCGGGCUUGAGUGUGGGAGAGGUGAGUGGAAUCCUGGUGUAGCGGUGAAAUGCGUAGAUAUCAGGAGGAACACCUGUGGCGAAAGCGGCUCACUGGACCAUUACUGACGCUGAGGCACGAAAGCUAGGGGAGCAAACAGGAUAGAAACCCGGA
rnacentral:rRNA from 1 species